rnacentral:rRNA from 1 species
CGGCGGACGGGUGAGUAAUGUCUGGGAAACUGCCCGAUGGAGGGGGAUAACUACUGGAAACGGUGGCUAAUACCGCAUAACGUCGCAAGACCAAAGUGGGGGACCUUCGGGCCUCACGCCAUCGGAUGUGCCCAGAUGGGAUUAGCUAGUAGGUGGGGUAAUGGCUCACCUAGGCGACGAUCCCUAGCUGGUCUGAGAGGAUGACCAGCCACACUGGAACUGAGACACGGUCCAGACUCCUACGGGAGGCAGCAGUGGGGAAUAUUGCACAAUGGGCGCAAGCCUGAUGCAGCCAUGCCGCGUGUGUGAAGAAGGCCUUCGGGUUGUAAAGCACUUUCAGCGAGGAGGAAGGCAUCAUACUUAAUACGUGUGGUGAUUGACGUUACUCGCAGAAGAAGCACCGGCUAACUCCGUGCCAGCAGCCGCGGUAAUACGGAGGGUGCAAGCGUUAAUCGGAAUUACUGGGCGUAAAGCGCACGCAGGCGGUUUGUUAAGUCAGAUGUGAAAUCCCCGCGCUUAACGUGGGAACUGCAUUUGAAACUGGCAA